rnacentral:rRNA from 1 species
GCCGAAAGGCGGGAGUGCCCGCAAGGGAGCGCGGAGACAGGUGGUGCAUGGCUGUCGUCAGCUCGUGUCGUGAGAUGUUGGGUUAAGUCCCGCAACGAGCGCAACCCUCACCCCUUGUUGCUACCAGGUAAAGCUGGGCACUCUAGGGGAACUGCCCCGGUCAACGGGGAGGAAGGCGGGGAUGACGUCAAGUCAUCAUGCCCCUUACGUCCUGGGCUACACACGUGCUACAAUGGCCGGUACAAAGGGAUGCCACACCGUGAGGUAGAGCUAAACCCAAAAAGCCGGUCUAAGUUCAGAUUGGAGUCUGCAACUCGACUCCAUGAAGGAGGAAUCGCUAGUAAUCGCGUAUCAGCACGACGCGGUGAAUACGUUCCCGGGCCUUGUACACACCGCCCGUCACACCACGAAAGCCAG